rnacentral:rRNA from 1 species
AACCAGCUCUUCAAGUGGUCGGGAUAAUUAUUGGGCUCAAAGUGUCCGUAGCUGGUAGGGUAGGUUCCUGGUAAAAUUGGGCAGCUUAACUGUCCUUAUGCUAGGAAUACUACUCUACUAGAGGGCGGGAGAAGUCUGAGGUACUACAGGGGUAGGGGUGAAAUCUUAUAAUCCUUGUAGGACCACCAGUGGCGAAAGCGUCAGACCGGAACGCGCCUGACAGUGAGGGACGAAAGCCAGGGGAGCGAACCGGAUUAGAUACCCGGGUAGUCCUGGCCGUAAACGAUGCGCACUAGGUGAUGGUGCGGCUAUGAGCCGCAUCAGUGUCGUAGGGAAACCGUUAAGUGUGCCGCCUGGGAAGUACGGUCGCAAGGCUUAAACUUAAAGGAAUUGGCGGGGGAGCGACCACAAGGGGUGAAGCCUGCGGUUC